CCCAACCACAAAUUCAAGAUGCAAGCGCACUUUGAAAAAAAUAAAAGUAAAGUUGGUAAACCUGCAGGGGAUAUAGUUAAAGUUGAUUUCCAAAGGAUCAACCAUGGAGAUUAUACAAGGAACACGAACUCCAUGUAUACAAAUGGGAUAUAAAAAUAAGAAGGCGUCCGUGUUGUAUUUCGUUUUUAUAUCAGAACAUACCCAUCAUAUAGGUUAAAAGAAAUUGCUUUUUACAAUGGUCUCAAAAAUGUUAUUAGGUUAAAUAAACACGUAUAUCAUUGAUAA
rnacentral:lncRNA from 1 species